GUCUUCUUGUAAUGUUUAGGAAGUCUGGCCUGCCCAGUGAAAAUAUUUUAACGGCCGCGGUAUAUUGACCGUGCAAAGGUAGCAUAAUCAUUAGUCUUUUAAUAGAGGGCUGGUAUGAAGGGUUUAACGAGGUGUUGACUGUCUCAUUUAAUUUGGAUUUAGAAUUUAAUUUUUUAGUUAAAAAGCUAAAAUUUUAUUGGAAGACGAGAAGACCCUAUAGAGCUUUAUAUUUAUAUUAUUAAUUGGGGGUUGAUUAUUAUUACUUAUUAUUAAUAUUAAAUAUUUUGUUGGGGUGACAAGAAUAUAUAAUUAACUUUUUUAUUUAGUUAACAUUGAUUUAUGAAUAGUGGAUCCAAUCUUAUUGAUUGAUAGAUUAAGUUACCUUAGGGAUAACAGCGUAAUCCUCCUUCAGAGUUCAUAUUUACAGGGGGGCUUGCGACCUCGAUGUUGGAUUAAGAUGAUAAUUAGGUGUAGCCGCUUAAUUAAUAGGUCUGUUCGACCUUUAAAUUCUU
rnacentral:rRNA from 1 species